GCCUGGCCGCUCGGUAAACACGUAGUAGAUCACGCGCUGGCCCACCAUGAAAUGUUGCUCAGCAGUCUCCAGGAAACGCUCCAGGUACUUCUCCAGGUACCUGAGGACGUGGCGCCACAGUCAGCUUGAGAAUGAGGGGAAGUGUCUUUGGUUCCUGGGAAUGGCUGGGGAUCAAAGUAUGGUGUUUGCCACCCAGGAAAAACGCUGUUCUGCACAGAGCCUCAGCCAGAUCUGAAGGGCACUGGGCACCUGUGACCUUGGACAGUUCACCUUGUGGAGUCCUUUACUUCCUUAGUGUCAGGCCUCCAAGUCCAAGCCUGGCCAUUAUAGCCUUGGUGACCCACACGUACACCUCUGGAUGGUCACCAGAAGCCAGGAAGUUUGAAGUAACCACAAGUAACCAGUUGGCCACAGAAGGAAGUAAAGCAACUUGUUCUUGGCCUCAACGAAUUGCUGCAACCUGCAACCAUUGUUCCUGUUCAGCCUUGCAACAAUCAUCCCCCCACUGGACACUGGGUUUUUCAAGACCUCCACCCCUGUAACAAUGUAAUUUACUGCACCCUCCCCUCUGAUUACAGCCAAUACUCCCCACCCUGAUGAUCAUGCCUGUUUGUAAUAAAUGACCGCAACCUUGUGAUCAUGCAUCCUGUGACGCCCUCCCCCUCCCCAAGACAGAUUAGCGACCCCUACCCUUAUAAUCAUGCAUCCCAUGACGCCCUUCCCCUCCCUAAGAUAGAUUACCACCUUUAGCUGACCAUUUGCCCCAACCCAUAUAACCAGUCCCCUGUCCUACCCUCACUACCUAAUUUCUUUCUUGGACUUGGCCCGCUUGCGCCUACACGUGAAAUAAACAGCUUUGUUGCCCACACAGAGCCUGCCUGGUGGUCUCUUCACAUGAGUGACACACUUGACAGUAGAAUGGUGUACGUACACCAGUCACCCAGGAGAGAGAACCGCAUAAGAUCACAGAUGUCAAAUCGUUGUGGUUUACUCUGGGCAGUGCUUUUCAAAGUUUGAGUUGUGACCUAUCUGAGGGCUGUGUAAUGAGUUUAGUGGGUCAUGACCAAGAUUUAAAAAAUAUGAACAGGAAUACAAUGGAGAAGAAAAUAUUCUGUAUUGUACAUAAGUGUAGGUUUUGUUUCAUGAAAAGUUUGUUUCAGUUGAUAGAUAUUUAAAUGUGUAUACAAGGUUGGGAAAUAUUUCUUUGUGGAUCAUGAUGGAAAUAGGUUUGUGAAAUUCAGUGUAAAGUGUAAACAACAGGAAUAGCAAAUGCCUAUUGCAGGUGCACCCUGCAAACUUGCAGUAGGUUGGAGCUUUUCAUCUAAAGCAGAUAGAUACUAAUUGGUGUGAAUCAGAUUCGCCACAUCUUUUAGGAGUAGGUUUGGUUUCCUCCUUCUUUGCUGCACACAUAACAAACUCAGGUGGAUCCUGGUUUUCAUUUUCUUCCAUAAAAGGAAAAUUAAGGUCCAGAAAGCGAAAAUAACUGCCCAGAGUCCUAUAGGCCAGUGGUGUACCUGCGCACGUGGCCUGCACUCCAGCAGCAGGAGAGGAGGCAGCACAUGGGAUAUUCUUACCUGGGGGCUCCCUAGGGCCCACUCCCCAACCUCAGCACCCUCCUCAGCACCCUGUCAGCUCAGGGUCCUGCUAGCCAUUCCCUGCCUCCUGGGGUACCAGGCUUUCCAGCCCCUAGUUCUACCCUUGGGGGAUAACUAAUCAGUCUGUUUCUCUUCCAAGAAAGUUACAUUUUAACAGGCUUUCCAAAGAGGAGUUAUCAAGAUGUGAGUGUUGAUUCGUGGAAGUUCCUGCAUGUAAUCAUCCUUUAAGAGAUUAUGAUUCAGUAGGCUGUGGCCUGACCCUCAAACCCUCCCCUUUUUAAAGACAGAGUUUUGCUCUGUCACCUGGGUUGGGGGUGCAGUGGUGCAGUCAUAGCUCACUGCAGCUUUGAACUCCUGGCCUCAAUCCUCCAGCCUCAACCUCCAGAGUAGCGGGGAAUUACAGGCACGCACCACCUUGCCUGUUUUGUUUUGAAGAUAUGGGGUCUCCCUGUGUUGCCCAGGUUGGUCUCAAACUCCUGGCCUCAAGCAAUCCUCCCACCUUGGCCUCCCCAAAGUGCUGGGUUUACAGAUGUGAGUGGCCAUAACCUACAUUUUUAACAGGUGGAAAUGCUGCUUUAAGUAAAGACUUGAUUAAGUGGGAAGAGCAGUGAGGCCAAGCUGCCCCUUUCUUCCCUUCCCCUGCUCAGAUGUGGGGUAGAUUUCAUUCCAUGCAAGAGGGCACAUGGUUAUUCUGUACUUCACCCCCAGCCUCAUUUCUAGCACAGUGCCUGGUUCAGAGGCAUGUGGUCAGCACAGGCCACUGUUAGCAGCACAUGUCUAGUUCCUCUCACUACUUGAUGUUCAUGGUGCUCGUCAGGUCGUCCUCCCUCCUUCAGCAGCAGCAGGGCCAGCUCACCUGUCCCUCAUUCGCACUUCCAUGUUCAUGCUUGUGCCUUUGCACUUACUACCUUGGUCUGGAAUGCCCUUUCUCCUUUAUUCAAGGCUUAGAUGCCUCAUCUCUGUCCUAAUCAUUUUCUAUUUAAGCAUGCAAAAGUGCUUAGUGAACCAAAGCCCUCCCAAGGCUCUUCUGGACACCAGGCAGCUCUAUCCAGAGGUGUGUGCUGGAAGAUCGGAGAGUCUGGGUUCUGCCCCAGGUGUUUAGAGGCUGCUAGCCCAGCAGUCAUCUCCCAAGUGGGAACGGCAGGUAAGGUGGCACAGAACAGAAAGGGCUUCUGGACCCUCUCACUCCAAGGGACACUGUGUGAAGUAAAGAACUGGUAUCUACUCUUCCAUGUGAACUGAAGCUGAGGGCACCCUCAAAUGACCCAGACCCAGCAAAGUGUGGAGGAUAUGUUGUCCACUUAAGGUCCCUUCCCCAGCCCAGGGACCCACCCAUCUCCAUAUGGGUGAAAGUAGCCAUUUGGGCUCAGAGAUAGGGAUUCCUAGGGGAGAAAGGCACCCAAGAGACGGAUUUUACAGAUUUAUUUUUUAAAAAUGAAAACAAAGGUUAAAAAAGUCCUUCAUGUCCAACCCUGCCUGGGGGAGUGGGUGGGGAAUAGAGUAAGUUCAGAAAGGUGCCUACCCCCUUCCUGCAAAGGACACGGCAGGUCAGAGGCAGACCCUCGCCCUUCCUGCCCUGUCUCCUCCUCAGGUAGCUCAAACACAGGCAAAGAAGUGUGGGAGUGGAAGGCCAAGAGCUGCCUUCUUCACAUCAACAGAAACUCCAGCUGUUCUCUCCCCUCAGUUCUCCAGGCCCCACCACUGGGACUCCAAGGGUGGAUGGGCAGGCAGGCCAGGAGGCUCAGCCCUUUGGGCUAUGUGGCCCAGCCCACCACAGCUUUCUUAAUGCUCUUUGUGAACCAGGAGGGCAGUCAGGGGAACUUCACAGUGCGGGGAGGGGUGUCUGGAAAGGAAACUCGGAAGCGCCGUCUCUUUCUGACCUUGCCUCUGCACUGAGGCUGCCGUUCUUGGCUAUUCCCCAUCCUGAGGCUGAGUGGAGUCCAGGACAAAGCACUAAGUGGCUGUUUGCUACAAAACACCUGGAGAUGCCAGAGAGUAGCCCUUGGCCUAUCUGUCAGUCCAGGCUCCCACACAGUCACACAGUCAUACACACAGCGUUAAGGCGUCUGUGCCAGCAGGCACGGCCUGGCUGGGCCCAGCUUCUCUCUCUGCAGAGGGUGUAGGGGGGAGAACCCUGGCUGCUGCAGAAACAGGCUGAAGGGGGAGAAGCUGACAACGGAAGAGUUAACCAGGCCUGGAGAAAGAAGUGGGAGGAAGGAAGGCAAGGGCUUUCUAGGCCUCCAUCCAGGCCUGCUGGCUGCCCUUGAAGUAACCCAACUCAGGUUGGGGAGCCCUGACCAUAUACCCCCUGGAAAAUGGGGGACAGAAAGAGGGGAAGAGAGCGGGGCUAGAGUAUUGGGACUUUGGAGGAAGCCAGUGCUAUCAAUAUUUACAAGCAUAAAGCCCCAUCUUCUGUGCCACCUACCUCUCUGCCCCUCCCACAGAAAUGAAAGGCCCCUGAGAGCCAUGGAGGAGGUGCCCAGACCUCCUCACCAGCUACGCCCCUAGGGAGAGCCCCUGCCCUCCGACUGGCCCCAUUUCUGGGCCCCUCAGGAAUGUCUGUCUGGUUCUGCUCAGUCGGGAGGCGCCUUGGGCCAGAAACCUGGCUGCCGCCAUCCCUAGGAGUCCUUGAGCAUGCUGAUGCGGGCGUAGAUCUUCAGGGCGGGCCCCAGCUUGAUGUUCAUGGCACUCAUCAGGUGGUCCUCCUUGAGCAGCAGCAGGGCUUGCCCGUCGAUUUCCUGGGCACGGAAUUCCUCAGCUAUCUCCUGGCAGCCUGAGGGGGUACCACCAAAGACAGUAUCAAUCGAGCUGCCAGUGUUCCCCUCUGGCCGCCACUGCAUCCAGAAGCUUUAUCUCCUUUAGUUCUCAUAACCACACCUUGAGGAAGGCACUGCUGUUUUUACUGUGCAGCUUGAGAGAGGCUGGACGCCUUACCCACAGCAGCCACAAUCCGGGCCUCCUCCUACGUGCCCGUUCACACCCCUGCUCCGUGAACUGGGCAGACCCAUGUCUGCUAAGGUGCUGAGGAAGUGACAGUGUGUGAUUUCUGAGGCUAGAUCAUAAAGGGCACAGCAGUUCUCGCCUUGCUCUUUUGGGUGGUUUACCGCAGAGUAAGCCAGCUACUAGUAAGCUUCGCCGGCAGCCCUCUGGAGAGACAUUCGUGGAGAGCGGCCAAGGCCCUGGUGGUCCCCGUCCCCCUUGCUGUGAGUGAACCAUGCUUGAAGUGGGUCCUCGGGCUCCAGACUUCAGACACUGCAGCCCUGGAUGGUGUCUUCCCUGAGACCUCCUAUGAGCUCAAAUUCAUACACUGGGUUUGUGGAAGGGAGUGGAUAACCUCUCUCUUUGGUUUUCAAGUCUUCAGACUAGGCGGAACUGGACCCCAGGAGCCUCACACCAGGCCUGUCCAGCCAAGCCACUCAAGAUUCCUGACCUACAGGGCCCUUGAGACGACAAGUGAUUACUGCUUCAAGCCACAGAGUUCUGGAGUAAUUUAUAUCAUGGCAAUAGGUAACUAAUGCAGACUCUGGUACCUGGAAAAGGAGUGCUGCCAUAAAACAGCUCUAUCGAUGUGGGUGCGGCCUCGGAACUGGCCUCAAGGAGGAGCUUGGAAGGACUUUGUGUAAAGUGUGAGUGUCUAAGGUGCUUUGAGAGAGAGACUCGUGGCCUUUGGCGAAGCUGCUGGGGAGGCCUAAAGGAAAGUGAGGAAAUUCUUAGUAGAGAUUGGAAGAAAUGGUCUCUAUUAUGAAACAGCAGAACAUUUUGUAAAAAUGUGGUUGGUGGCAGAAAUGUAAGUUGAAUGUAGCUCAUGAAGUGGGUGGUCUAGCUAAGGAGAUUUUCAGGCAGAAUGUGGAAGGUGUUCCUUGGCUUCUUGCUGCUGCUCACAGUAAAGUAAGAGAGGACAGUGAGGAGGUAAAAACAAACAAAACUGUUCAACAUAAAGGAACUGGGACUUGCCGGUUUUAAAAACGCCCAGCCUCUCCAGAUGGCACACGAUGCUAAAAUUAAGAAAUGGUUUCUAGGCAAAGAUCAAAUUCAGGGCACCAUUAAAAAAAAAAAAAAAAAAAACAUGGUCUACAGGUCUACAGAUUCAACUUAGGAUGUGACUGAAAUCUUUUUGUCAAGACCUCAGAAAGAUCUAAGGUGAUGCCUCAAAGGGCUAUUCAAUCCAAAGGCUCUCCAAGGAUUAUCUAGGCUUUCCUCACAGAUCUACUCCUGAACAGCAGGGUUUCUAAGAAUGUGAAGGGCACCCUCCAUGCUGUCCCUCAACUUCAGAAGAAGCCCAGUGCAGACAAUGGCUUAUCUUGAAGAUAAUUCUGGGUGUGGUUUUUGUCUAAUGGAAUGGAGCCCAACAAGAUUCCCAGAAAACUCACAAUUAUUUUAAGAAAUACUGAAUUACUGAUUUUAGAGUCAAAGGUAGGCCAGAUGCGGAGGCUAAUGCCUAUAAUCCCAGCACUUUGAGAGGCUGAGGUAGGUGGAACACCUGAGGUCAGGAGUUUGAGACCAGCCUGGCCAACAUGAUGAAACCACAUCGCUACUAAAAAUAUAAAAUUAGCCAGGCGUGGUGGCACAUGCAUGUAAUGCCAGCUACUCGGGAGGCUGAGGCAGGAGAAUCCCUUGAACCCGGGAGGCAGAGGUUGCAGUGAGCUGAGAUCGGACCAUUGCACUCUGGCCUAAGAGACAGAGCAAGACUCCAUCUCAAAAAAAAGUCAAAGGCAAUAUAAAAAGCAGCAGGAAGUAGGCUGAGAAAACAACCAUACCGAAAAUACAGAAAAGGAAGGAGGACUCGGAGGGCAGAGCCAAGAGAAGUCACUCCCAGGCUUUGAGUCCUGAGGAAAACUGCCACCAUCCUUAGCAGAUUUCAGAACUGGAAGGGAUCAAUGACUCUUGUAUGCUCCGUUCCUUCCCUUUUUCGAUGGGAAUGUUUACAAUGGUUAUCCUAUGGCUGUCCCACUGUGCACUGGGUUCGUGGAAGGGAGCAGAUAGCCUCUCUCUCUAGUUCUCAGGUCUUCAGACUGAAAGGACCCAUACUGGAAGAACUGGACCCCAGGAGCCUCAUCCAUGCCUGGACCUGGGUUCAAUGAUGACAGCAUGAACUCCAAAUUGAUGCUGUCAUGGGACCAGACUGUUGGGAAUUUGGUCAGGGCGAGCAAUUCUACAUGAGGAAGGAACAUAAAUUUCUGGGAGCCAUGGUGAACUACGUGGCCUGUCUCUGAAUGGCCCCUAAUAGUCCUUCCCAGCAAGGAUUAUUCAUACCCUUGUGAGUCUCCUCACACAAUGAGUAAGACUGACCUGUGUGACCAAUACGAUACUGUGAAAAUUAUAAUUAAAAAAAUAUAUAUAUUGUGAAAAUGGCGGUACGUGGCUUCGGAGGCUAGAUCGUAAAAGCCACAGUAGCUUCUACCUUGCUCUCUGGGAUUCCUACCUGUGGGGACAACCCACUGCCAUGCAUAUCAUGAAAACACUCAAGCAGCCCUCUGGAGAGGCCCAGGUGGAAGGAAUCGAGGCCUCUUGCCAACAGCCAGCCCACAGGGCAAAUCAUGUGAGGCCAACAUAGUGAAACCCCAUCUUCAGCUCUUCAGUAUUCACAUGACCUCAGCCUUGGCUGAUAUCUUAAUUGCAACCUUAUAAGAGACCUGCGGCAGAAUUGCCUAGGGAAGCCACUCCUGAAUUCCUUACCCACAGCAACUGUAUAAUAACAAAUUUGGGGGAUGAAGAGCUAACACAUUGGGUUAAGUGACAGAGCCAGAAUUUGAACCCAGUUCAGUGUGCCUCAGAAGUCUGUGCUCUUAACCACAUUGCAGUCGCUGAGAAAGAGGCUUGUGGUUGCCAUCAAUACCUGACCUGGUCAGUGUAAUGAG